GAAGGAAAUUAAGUACGGAAGUUCCUGAUUUCACGCUGUCAAGAAAAGCCUCUAGGAAGAGUAGUACUGCCCGUACCGCAAACCGACACAGGUAGAUGAGGAGAGAAUCCUAAGGUGAGCGAGAGAACUCUCGUUAAGGAACUCGGCAAAAUGACCCCGUAACUUCGGGAGAAGGGGUGCUCUAUUAGGGUGCAAGCCCGAGAGAGCCGCAGUGAAUAGGCCCAGGCGACUGUUUAGCAAAAACACAGGUCUCUGCAAAACCGUAAGGUGACGUAUAGGGGCUGACGCCUGCCCGGUGCUGGAAGGUUAAGAGGAGUGCUUAGCUUCGGCGAAGGUACGAAUUGAAGCCCCAGUAAACGGCGGCCGUAACUAUAACGGUCCUAAGGUAGCGAAAUUCCUUGUCGGGUAAGUUCCGACCCGCA
rnacentral:rRNA from 1 species